UAUCGGAAUUUACACCGAUAUCU
rnacentral:snRNA from 1 species